rnacentral:lncRNA from 1 species
UUUUUUUCUUUUGUUCACUUUACUUCAAGUAUUUUAUGUUUAUGUUUAUUAUUAUCUAACUAUGUCAUUUACAUUAGGCUAACUUAUUUACUACCUCGUUAUCUUGUUAAAUAAAAGAGGAAUAAAAAUAAAAGAAAGAGAACAAAUCACUUUUUUAUUUAUUUUUUAAUACUAAUAGAUGGACUUAAGGUUGCAUAACUUUCUUUGUUACAAAUCUAUUGUUAGUUGAUUUUUUAAUCAUCUUCAAUACUUUGCAUCAAUGAUAAGCUA